GAUGAACGCUGGCGGUAUGCCUAAUACAUGCAAGUCGUGCGGAAAGGCCUCUUCGGAGGUACUCGAGCGGGCGGACGGCAGAGUAACGCGUAGGAACAUACCCCAAACUGAGGGAUAACUGCUCGAAAGAGUAGCUAAUACCGCAUGUGGUCUUCGGACUAAAGCUUCGGCGGUUUGGGAAUGGCCUGCGUUCGAUUAGCUAGUUGGUGAGGUAAUUGCUCACCAAGGCGACGAUCGAUAGCUGGUCUGAGAGGAUGAUCAGCCUGACUGGAACUGAGACACGGUCCAGACUCCUACGGGAGGCAGCAGUAGGGAAUUUUCCACAAUGGGCGAAAGCCUGAUGGAGCAAUACCGCGUGCAGGAUGAAGGCCUUCGGGUCGUAAACUGCUUUAUGUGAGAGAAUUUGACGGUAACACAUGAAUAAGGGU
rnacentral:rRNA from 1 species